CUUGACCUCAAAUCACGGCGGGACUACCCGCUGAACUUAAGCAUAU
rnacentral:rRNA from 1 species